rnacentral:lncRNA from 1 species
CUGGGGAAACGGGAAAUAUACUUUUGACUUGUGAAGAUGAAGUUGCUUUUUGUUCUCUUGUGGCCACAACUACAAUUCAUUAUCAGAAUCCACCCUUAACAGCUGGCAUAUGACAUAAAGAAGAAGCCUGCCUGCACCAAGGGGACAAUUUCCAGGCAAAGAUGGAAUGCAGAGCUCUUUGCUGAAAGCUAACCAUCUUCAAAAUAGGCCAUGAGACAAAAAGGUGCUGUUGUCUUUCACGGCUGCUGGUAAGAGGUACAGACUCUUAAGCAAUGGUUGAGGAACAACUAGUAUCACAAGAGACAAUGUUUUGAAUGAAACUCAAGGCAUACUCAUCAGAGAAUGAACUGUUCACUUCAAGUGAGGGGACAUGUAGUCUUCCCUCAGAGGACAAAUAGCUGACUCUGUGAAGGAGAAAUGCAUGGGUGACCCCAUUUGGGGCCACCAAGGUGCUGAACCAUUGCCUUCUGUUGGAUCUUAACCCACAUGCGGGGUUCCAUGAUGAGGGGAAAAGAGUAACGUUGGAGUUGAAAAGCCUGGCAGACACCAUGUUCGACUGAGUGAUCAGAGUGAGCGCCGCCAGCCAUGAAACACACUGAAUCUGGAACAAUGGUGCAGCCCACUAUGGCUUCUCUGAUAGUCCUGCCAAAGGUGCAUCACCUGAACCUGACUAUGAGAAAGUGUCAGCCAAAGGAAAAUGGAGGGACAUUCUGUAAAACAACUGGCCUGUGCUCUUCAGAAGUGCCAAGGCCAAUAUAAAGAAAGGCUGAGGAACUGUUCUGGAAUCAAUAAGACUAAAAAGAGAUAUGACAAAAUAUGCAACAUGUGACUUUCAAUUGGAUCUUCAUUAUUAGGGCAACUGGAGAACCUUCUUGGGACCUGAUAAAUAAGUGGCAGUAAGGUCUCAGUGUUA